rnacentral:rRNA from 1 species
UUACAGAACCAUAGCACCCUGCAGCUCUAACAAUCUAACAGUCUCAUCUGAUUUCCCACUGAAGCUAAGCAGGGUUGAGCCUGGCCAGUACCUGGAUGGGAGACCUCCUGGGGAAAACUAAAUGCUGGAAG